rnacentral:rRNA from 1 species
UUUAAUUCGAAGCAACGCGAAGAACCUUACCAGGUCUUGACAUCCCGGUGACCACUAUGGAGACAUAGUUUCCCCUUCGGGGGCAACGGUGACAGGUGGUGCAUGGUUGUCGUCAGCUCGUGUCGUGAGAUGUUGGGUUAAGUCACGCAACGAGCGCAACCCUUAUUCUUAGUUGCCAUCAUUCAGUUGGGCACUCUAAGGAGACUGCCGGUGAUAAACCGGAGGAAGGUGGGGGUGACGUCAAAUCAUCAUGCCCCUUAUGACCUGGGCUACACACGUGCUACAAUGGACGGUACAAACGGUUGCCAACCCGCGAGGGGGAGCUAAUCCGAUAAAACCGUUCUCAGUUCGGAUUGUAGGCUGCAACUCGCCUACAUGAAGCCGGAAUCGCUAGUAAUCGCGGAUCAGCAUGCCG